rnacentral:tRNA from 1 species
GCGGAUAUGACUUAGAGGUUAAAGUCGCAGAUUGUGGCUCCGAAAACACGGGUUCGAAUCCCGUUAUUCGCC